ACAAACAGACUGAGAAUGUUUAUCCUUGCGCCCAGUGGAUUCACACCGGGCUAGUGGACCAGCUUCCUUACCAGCAGCACAUAGAAGAAGGAAGAGAUUCUGCAUGGGGGAAGGACCUAUUCUGUCUCCAAACUUCCCCAUUUCUAUUGAGGACAUCAUCCUUCUAGCCACCCAGGUUUUGUAAGGAAACAGCAGAAAACUGUGCAACAUAUCACCUCAGGCUGUGAAGACUUAAUACCUACCAGACACUUAAAAUGAAAGACACAAUCAGAAUUAUACACCAGGAACUUGCUAUUCCUUAUAAACUAGGAGAUGAUAAAUUCCCCUAUUAGAAAUGCAAACUCCCAAAUACUCUUGAGAAUUCAAUAAAUGGACUCUUGGAAUAGAAGCAUUAUCAGAAAUGAAAUCAUUGCUUACAGUGGUUCAGACAUAAUAUUGAUCUGUGUUAAGUAACUUAACAAUGAUGUUUUUAAUGGAAGUCAACAUGGACGCAACCUCCAAACUAUGUGUAAUGAGAAGCUCUGAAAACAUAGAGUCCUAUUGAUCAGAAGAGGUCAAAAUCAUGUGGAAACAGGUGCAUAUCGUCCUCGUCAUCUUGUCUGCUCCUGUACUUGUCCCAAAGUUGCUUUCUAUGAUUCUACAGAAAAUAAAGCCUUGGAAGUCUUU